ensembl:lncRNA
AGAAUAUAAGAGCCCCUGGAAACGACCUGGUGCAAGCUCCUUGAUGUACAAAAGUGGAAAUCGGGGCCCAGAUGGAGAUCCCCUCAGGACAGAUCACUGCCCAGCCUCAUCUUCCAGGUAAGAUCUAUAUUCCCCACUACUAAACUUGAUUGAUGCCUCCUCCAGGCAGCUCUCCCACAUCCCUCUGUAGUCAACAGUACUAUAUUAGAGUCUAUCAAGGAGCUCUUCUCAGGGUGGGAGGCUCUGACCCAGCUGUCUGCUCCCUGGAUGGUGAGUGUUUCCGAAGCAGAGGCUGCAUCUGCUCAGUGUCCCUGCCUGCCUCUCUCUCCACCAGACUUGACCUUGCCCUGUACUCUCCAUCAGGCUCGAACUUGCCCAUGUGCAGUUUCCUCCUGUUGGUUCCAGUCAUCUGUCAAUUGUCCUGGGAAGGCAAGGAGCUCAAGGGUGAAUGGCAGGAGAUUCUGAUUCCUCCUCCUGAGUGGGCUCCGUCCUGC